rnacentral:rRNA from 1 species
AAGAUUUAGUGGCGAACGGGUGAGGAACACGUGAGGAACCUGCCCCAAACUUUGGGAUAACAGUUGGAAACGACUGCUAAUACCAGAUGCCGUUACUUUGUCGCAUGGCGAGGUAACGAAAGUUUUUCGGUUUGGGAGGGCCUCGCGGCCUAUCAGCUUGUUGGUGAGGUAAUGGCUCACCAAGGCAACGACGGGUAGCUGGUCUGAGAGGAUGAUCAGCCACACUGGGACUGAGACACGGCCCAGACUCC